rnacentral:rRNA from 1 species
GACGAACGCUGGCGGCGUGCUUAACACAUGCAAGUCGAACGGAAAGGCCCUGCUUUUGUGGGGUGCUCGAGUGGCGAACGGGUGAGUAACACGUGAGUAACCUGCCCUUGACUUUGGGAUAACUUCAGGAAACUGGGGCUAAUACCGGAUAGGAGCUCCUGCUGCAUGGUGGGGGUUGGAAAGUUUCGGCGGUUGGGGAUGGACUCGCGGCUUAUCAGCUUGUUGGUGGGGUAGUGGCUUACCAAGGCUUUGACGGGUAGCCGGCCUGAGAGGGUGACCGGCCACAAUGGGACUGAGGUACGGGCCCGACUCCUACGGGGGGGAGCAGUGGGGAAUAUUGCAACAUGGGCGGAAGCCUGAUGCAGCAACGCCGCGUGCGGGAUGAAGGCCUUCGGGUUGUAAACCGCUUUCGCCUGUGACGAAGCGUGAGUGACGGUAAUGGGUAAAGAAGCACCGGCUAACUACGUG